GGCGCGUAGCUCAGUUGGCAGAGCAUUGGGCUAGUAUUCCAAAGGUCGUAGGUUCGAUUCCCACCGUGGUCA
rnacentral:tRNA from 1 species